rnacentral:rRNA from 1 species
GACGAACGCUGGCGGCGUGCUUAACACAUGCAAGUCGAGCGGUAAGGCCCCUUCGGGGGUACACGAGCGGCGAACGGGUGAGUAACACGUGAGCAAUCUGCCCUUCACACGGGGAUAACUUCGGGAAACCGGAGCUAAUACCCGAUACGACCACCUCGGGCAUCCGAUGGUGGUGGAAAGCUCCGGCGGUGAAGGAUGAGCUCGCGGCCUAUCAGCUUGUUGGUGGGGUAACGGCCCACCAAGGCAACGACGGGUAGCCGGCCUGGGAGGGUGGCCGGCCACACUGGGACUGAGACACGGCCCAGACUCCUACGGGGGGCAGCAGUGGGGAAUAUUGGACAAUGGGCGAAAGCCUGAUCCAGCGACGCCGCGUGAGGGAUGACGGCCUUCGGGUUGUAAACCUCUUUCGCCUGUGACGAAGCGUGAGUGACGGUAAUGGGUAAAGAAGCACCGGCUAACUACGUGCCAGCAGCCGCGGUAACAC